UACAGAGGGUGCGAGCGUUGUUCGGAAUUAUUGGGCGUAAAGCGCAUGUAGGCGGCUUUGCAAGUCGCGUGUGAAAGCUCCAGGCUCAACCUGGAAAGUGCGCGCGAAACUGCGAGGCUUGAGUGCCGGAGAGGGUGGCGGAAUUCCCGGUGUAGAGGUGAAAUUCGUAGAUAUCGGGAGGAACACCAGAGGCGAAGGCGGCCACCUGGACGAACACUGACGCUGAGACGCGAAAGCGUGGGGAGCAAACAGG
rnacentral:rRNA from 1 species